UUAUGUGCCUCUCGGAAUCAGUUGGGUAUUUAAUGUUAUUCUGGAACGAUUCAGCGAGGGACUGUUGUUUUUUGCAGGACUUUACCUGCUCUGCUAUCCUGCCUUCAGACAGUGAUAUUGUUUGGUGAUGGGGCCUCAGAUGCGAAGUCAUGUUGGAAGUGUUUCCGUGCGACUAGGCUAUACGUAUAAAACAAUGCUUGCAGACAGUCAUUUUUUUGUUUACUGUUUUUUCUUCCUCUGCAUUAUACUCAACUGCAAAUCCGAAAUGUCUCCACACCACGGAUUUUAAAGACGCCGGCGCUUCCUGGAACAGUAGCCUGACUUCACCGCCGCUCGCCAUGUUAAAGUGUGCAAUGAUGUUCACGCCCCCUAACUAGAGCAUAGUGUGAGUGACUCGCGGGGAGGGGUUUCCUCAUCUUAGCUCGUAGACUUACAGGCACACACAAACAGUCAAUUCGGAGAGAAAUAAAAUGCACAUAAAUCAUUUAAACGUAAAAACCGAAAAACCGAAAUUCACAAGCGUGUAUUGAACCGUGGAUGUCGCACCGUACGGUUCAAUAUUAUAUUGAGAAUUGUGGCAUCCCUAUUGGCCAGUGGUAUUCCAGUACUGAUUUUGCUUUCAGUGUUUUUAUGAAAGUUUAAAUUGAAACUGAGGUGAUUUAUUUAUGUGUCCUUAGAUUACAGUAUUGUUUACAGUGUUAUGCAAUUGAUAACCUGACAUGAUUUAGCCUAUUUCCAUAAGUGGCCCACUACUUACCAGUAUACUCAUUUUCUGUGAAGUAUUGAAGUUGUGUCCUGAUUCUGAAUGUGAAAAUGACAUGUAUUGUCUUAAUGUUUAGAUUGACUGCUUACCAGUUGACAUUUCAGUGAAAGACUUCCAACUGAUGGAAAAUAAAUGUCCCAUCUGGGGUCGUGGCUGUAAGCAGAGGUCAUAAUGGAGUCAAUCUGUCUGAUAGGGCUAAACUUUUCCUGCUGGUUUUGUCCAUCUCGGUUUCAUUUCUUCUUGGAAGUCUGAGCGCUCUUAUGAUGAAUUUGUCUUCAUCAGAUCCUGACAGAGAACUGAUGGAAAACUACAGCAGAAUUCAAGAGCGUCUCUCUCCUUAUCAUGGUAGGAUUUUACUUUUAGACGACUACAAUGUUCCUACAUGAUGCGUACAGUAUCAGUUUGUGAUCAUAACUGUAUUUAAUAUCUUAAAACACUUAAAAUUAAAAAUUUUCAACUCCUGUCCCUGGUUGGGCUCUAAACACAAUACAAUUUACAUACUAAACUACUUCAAUUUUAAACAAAUAACAUGAUAGUGACAGUUCAUGUCUCUAAACAUACACAAUAAAAUUUACCCAUAAAAUUUACCCGUAAGGUUUACAUACACACGUAUACACUGUCAGAAAAAAGGGUACGGUUGGGGUCCAUUUGUGCCACUUAAGGUACAAAUGGCGAAGUUGUACCCUCAGUGGGUCAUAGUUGCACCUUAGGGUACUAAAAUGUACAAUUUAGGAAUAAAAAAGGUACAAAAAGGUUUCCAACAGUCAGAGGGUCCAUGUUUGGACCAUUUAAUCUCCAAACAAAGGUAGGGGAGACCGGGGUUGGUUGUCACAAUUUUUACUCAUGCAUGAAUUGCUCAUCUUCAAAAAGUCUUUCAGCAGUAAUUCCUACAUGAAAUGAAACUUUGGAGUCUUGGCUUUAAAUGUGUAUACUUUUAGAUGAUAAUGUUUCAGAGGAAGCUAAAAGACUAAGAGAUCAGAAUAAGAAUCAGCACCCAGAUGUGAUGACAAAAAGGAAUGCCUCUGGAGAUACUUUAGAUGUAGAUUUUUCUUUAUAUGAAUUAAAACGGGCUCUAGGGGGAGUUAAACAUACAUCUCCUGGUAAAGACUAUGUGUGUUAUAUAAUGAUCGAGCAUCUGACCGAUAGAUCCUUGAAAGUUAUAUUACGUCUGUUCAAUAGGAUUUGGAAUGAGGGAAAGCUUCCAUCCUCAUGGAAACAUGGAAUAAUAAUUCCAAUAGGCAAACCGGGUAAAGAUAAAUCAAACCCGACUGGAUAUAGACCAAUUGCUUUGACUUCCAAUAUGUGUAAACUGAUGGAAAAAAUGAUUAUUUACAGGCUAAACUAUGUUUUGGAAAAUAAUGGGUUUAUGUCACCAUAUCAAAGUGGAUUUCGGGCAGGGCGGAAUACAAUGGACGCUGUGUUAAGCCUGGAAGCUGAUAUAAGGAAAGCUCAAGUAAAUAAAGAAGUUCUGGUUGGGGUUCUGUUUGACAUUGAGAAGGCAUAUGAU